rnacentral:rRNA from 1 species
GAUGAACGCUGGCGGCGUGCCUAAUACAUGCAAGUCGAGCGAACAGACGAGGAGCUUGCUCCUCUGACGUUAGCGGCGGACGGGUGAGUAACACGUGGAUAACCUACCUAUAAGACUGGGAUAACUUCGGGAAACCGGAGCUAGUACCGGAUAAUAUAUUGAACCGCAUGGUUCAAUAGUGAAAGACGGUUUUGCUGUCACUUAUAGAUGGAUCCGCGCCGCAUUAGCUAGUUGGUAAGGUAACGGCUUACCAAGGCAACGAUGCGUAGCCGACCUGAGAGGGGGAUCGGCCACACUGGAACUGAGACACGGUCCAGACUCCUACGGGAGGCAGCAGUAGGGAAUCUUCCGCAAGGGGCGAAAGCUUGACGGAGCAACGCCGCGUGAGUGAUGAAGGUCUUCGGAUCGUAAAACUCUGUUAUUAGGGAAGAACAAAUGUGUAAGUAACUAUGCACGUCUUGACGGUACUUAAUCAGAAAGCCACGGCUAACUACG